UGAACGCUGGCGGCGUGCUUAACACAUGCAAGUCGAGCGAGACCUUCGGGUCUAGCGGCGGACGGGUGAGUAACGCGUGGGAACGUGCCCUUUGGUUCGGAAUAGCCCGGGAAACUGGGAGUAAUACCGGAUGAGCCCUACGGGGAAAGGAUUUAUCGCCGAAGGAUCGGCCCGCGUUGGAUUAGGUAGUUGGUGGGGUAAUGGCCUACCAAGCCGACGAUCCAUAGCUGGUUUGAGAGGAUGAUCAGCCACACUGGGACUGAGACACGGCCCAGACUCCUACGGGAGGCAGCAGUGGGGAAUCUUAGACAAUGGGGAAAACCCUGAUCUAGCCAUGCCGCGUGAGCGAUGAAGGCCUUAGGGUUGUAAAGCUCUUUCAGCUGGGAAGAUAAUGACUGCACCAGCAGAAGAAGCCCCGGCUAACUCCGUGCCAGCAGCGGCGGUAAUCUGAUGGCGCGAGG
rnacentral:rRNA from 1 species